CCUACGGGGGGCAGCAGUGGGGAAUAUUGCACAAUGGGGGAAACCCUGAUGCAGCGACGCCGCGUGAGUGAAGACGUAUUUCGGUAUGUAAAGCUCUAUCAGCAGGGAAGAAAUAGCGACCUUUGGGUCGCCAGACGGUACCUGACUAAGAAGCCCCGGCUAACUACGUGCCAGAAGCCGCGGUAAUACGUAGGGGGCAAGCGUUAUCCGGAUUUACUGGGUGUAAAGGGAGCGUAGACGGCAGCACAAGUCUGAAGUGAAAUACCGGGGCUUAACCCCGGAACAGCUGUGGAAACUGGUCAUCUAGAGUGCAGGAGAGGUAAGUGGAAUUCCUAGUGUAGCGGUGAAAUGCGUAGAUAUUAGGAGGAACACCAGUGGCGAAGGCGGCUUACUGGACUGUAACUGACGUUGAGGCUCGAAAGCGUGGGGAGCAAACAGGAUUAGAUACCCGAGUAGUC
rnacentral:rRNA from 1 species